rnacentral:ncRNA from 1 species
CUUAACGUUACAACCGAGGAUGGGAAUGACGGAACCAUGUUUCCCGAAACCAUCCCGUCAAUACUCCUGCAUGCGUCAUGACUGACAGGUCAUGGGGUCUGAAGUACAGGUAGAUUCGGCAGAACGGAGGCUGAAGCCACUCCAUUGGAGAAGGUAUGCCAAUGGAUAUGCCGCGCGGCUGAAAA